AGUGGUCGAGUAGCCGAUUUAGCAGUCGACAACAUCUGAGGUAAGUCUAUAAGCAUAUAAAUGUCAUUAAAUUUGAUAAUAUAUAUAUGUUACAUGUUGGGUGGAAUUUUUGUGAAUAUAUUUGUGUAUGGCCGAAUGUAUAUUGAGCAAAUGAGCUAUAUUCGAGUUCGACGAUCGAGAUACAUUGUCCGAAAGUCCCGUACGAACCUUAGGAAUAGAUAGGAUACAUAUGUCAUGACAUAGGAUUUUCGAUAUGUGUUAUCGUGUAAGACCACUUCUGGGACGUUGGCAUCGACUUGUGUUUACGUGUAAGACCCUGUCUGGGACAGUGGCAUCGAUAUGUGAUUACAUGUAAGACCACGUCUGGGACAUUGGCAUUGUACGAGUUUCCAACUAUCCGUGUAUCCUUUUUAAUUCCGAGUGGUUAACGGGCAAUGUUAAGUGAUAACCGAAUGUGAAGUCGAAUUAAUAAUGUUCAGGUAUGUAUUUAUAUCAUGCUAUGAAAUUUAAGGUAAGUUGUAUAUUGAAUUGAUGAUUCAAAGUUGAUUGAUAUAUGAAUAAUGUGUGAGCAUGUUCAUAGUUAUAAGUGAUUUGGUGGUAUAGGGAAAUAUGCCUAUUAUCAUAGUUUUUAAUUAUAAAAUGCUAAGUAUACAAGAAUUUGAGUAUUUGUGCCUUGAGUUUUUAUAAAGUUCAAUGUUUACUUAUAUUUGAUUUGGUUGGCUUGGUAAAGUAGUUUGAUAUUAACGUAAAAAUGAAAAUGAAUAAGGUUUGCUUAUGACUUACUAAGCUUAAAUAGCUUACUGUGUGUAUAUUGCUUUUCAAUUUUUUUUUUAGAUUUUGGAGGUUGGUUACGAGCUCGGGGACCGUCAACAAAGUCUAUCACACUAUCGACAUCUUUUGGGUACUUUGAUAAAUUUUUAAACUCGAUAUUAUGGGAUGUAUAGGCUUGCUUAUGUUUUUGGUUAGUUUUGGAAUAUGUAUAUAAAUGGCCAUGUGAAAAUGGCUCAUCUU
rnacentral:lncRNA from 1 species